UGAGAUUUUGACUAAAAAUAAAGGAUGAAUUGUCAAGAAAACUAAUGAAAGGACUGAAAGCGUUUGCUAGGAAUAUAGUUGUGCAUAUAUUUGAUAUUUAAUUUGAUGUAUGGUAUUUUUUUAAAAUAUUUUUUAUUUAAAAAUAUAUCAAAAUAAUAUUUUUUAUUUUUAACAUAAAUAUAUUAAAAAAAAACAAUUAUUAAUUUAAUAUUUUUUAAAAACAACAAUCACAUUUCCAACACACAAAAUAAAAGGCAUAUUUGUUUGAACAUCUUAUUUGAAUGCCGCACAGGGUACCAGGAAAGGGCCUCAACGCAAGCAUUGAUGUUCCAAGAUAAGAAGGUUGACCCAACCUUAAUUGUGGUGGCUUUCAGAGGGACCAACCCAUUUGAUGCAGAUGACUGGACCACAGAUGUGGAUCUCUCGUGGUAUGACCUUCAAGGCAUUGGUAAGCUCCACCGUGGCUUCAUGAAAGCCCUAGGCCUGCAAGAGAAUGGUUGGCCGAAAGAAAUUGAACAAGGCAGUGGUCAUUCUUAUGCAUACUAUGAAAUUAGACAAAUGCUAAGGAACAUAUUGCUCAAGAAUGAGAAGGCAAAAUUUAUAUUAACAGGGCAUAGCUUGGGUGGGGCAUUGGCUAUACUGUUCAUGGGAGUGUUAGCAUUACACCAGGAGGCUUGGUUGCUUGAGAGAUUGGAAGGGGUUUACACGUUUGGACAGCCCAGAGUAGGAGAUGGACAAUUUGGGGAAUUUAUGAUAGAUAAGUUGAAAAGGUAUGAAGUAAGGUACAUGAGGCAUGUCUACAGUAAUGACAUCGUGCCUAGAUUGCCCUAUGAUGACAAUCUUCUUUUAUUCAAGCAUUUUGGUCCCUGCAUCUACUUCAAUAGCUUCUACAAAGGAAAGGUCAGUGCUCUCUCGCCCUUUUCCUUUACUUGUAAAUUCCAACCAGAUGAUUAUUUUCUUGACUCGAUUAUGUAUCAGCAGAACUCAGUAUUCAGUAAUAUUGUUCACAAGUCACUAACACAGUCAUGAAUGAUAAUUGUGAUUCGGAACACAGGUUAUGCAAGAAGAGCCGAACAAGAACUACUUCUCUUUGUUGUUGAUACUCCCCAAGUACCUCAAUGCUCUCUGGGAGCUUAUCAGAAGUUUUAUAAUCCCUUACCUCCAUGGCCAGGACUACAGAGAGAGUUGGUUUAUGAGACUGCUAAGGAUCGCAGGAUUGAUAGUUCCAGGAAUACCAGAACAUAUUCUUCAAGAUUAUGAUAAUUCUACCCGGUUGGGAUCCCUUCAACUCAAGGAUUCUCAGCAAGAACUUCACCAAGAGUAAGAACCGUUAAAAUUACAACACCAGCAACUGACCAAGUCAGCCUUGAUUACCGGUUCUUCUUUAAUUUGUUUAUUCUUCAAUGUUGCUUUCUUAUUUCUUAAGAGUCUGUUUAGAAUUUUAUGGCUAAAAUAAUGAAUGUAGCUGUUAGUCUCUAUUUUUAUGUAACUGUCUUGCUUAAAUAAAGCAACUCAGUUCUGCAGAAUAAAUUAUCAUCUUGUUUCCUGUUCUCCUACUUCUUUCAUUUUGUCCAACAAGAAAAAUCUACGAUGUCUUAACACUCUUGUGACAUAUCAUUUCGAGAAACAAACAAACUCUUGGUAGCAAUGGAUGGACUACGUUACCAGGUGUGUUUAUCCUAUACGUCCGAGAUAUGUAAUUUCUUCAAUAUUAUUGUUCAAUAACCAUGGAUACAAGGUUUAUUUUCAAAUAUUCUGGAAAUUCUGGUCCCUAAAUGAUCACCAGGGCAUUUGCCUUCUAUCGAACAUUCUGGUCCCUAAAUGACCACCAGGGCAUAAUUAUAUAGUUGUACUAGUUUAUAAAUUAUUUUUAUCAAUUACCCUAUUUUUUUAUAAUAAAAAAUGGCAAUUCAUGUCAUCCCUCUUAGAAGCAUUAAAGCCAACGGUUAUCCUAUCACAAUUGACCUAAAUGCAUCAAUUUUAUGACUAGUAGCUUGUGAAAGUGAGCAAGCUAAUUUGUCUUUUUUUUUAAUUAUCAUUUUCUUGAUAGAAGCUAUUUUUGGCCUUGGGGAAAAGGUAAAAAAAAGCUUUUGUGCUCCAGGCCUGAAAGUGUGUUCCCAUAUACUCAGCUUCUAUAAAUAAUGCAUGCUUCAUUUAUGAGACUGAGUGCAUAAAAUCGUACCUUGUGUUAUAAAUGAUUUGCAAUCAAGUAUAGCUUAUCUUGAAAUUGGAAUUAAUUAUAAUCACGAAGGAGAGGAAAUUAUUUUUCUUAUAUUGACAAUUUAUAAUAUCUAUCGAAAAAUCAUUUUAAUCCAAUAAUUUAAGUUAUUAAAUGAUAUUUUAAUAUAUAAUUUAUAUUAUUUUUUAACAAUAUCCAUUAAAUUUUCCAUUCAACCAUUUCGAUUAUCUUUAUUGCCAAUGUUACCACUAUUUAUCUACCCCACUUAUUAUUACUAUUAUCAUGAUGACAAUUAUUUUAAGUGUUUUUCUCUUAUUAACAUGGUUUUCCUAAAUAAUAUAGUUUAAAAAAUAAUUAGUAAAAUAAUAUAAUGUGUAUAUGCAAACGACAUUUAACUUUAUCAUUGUUCAUAGAUGUAACAUUCCAAAUAAAUCGUGAAAUGGGCUACACAAAUCACGAUGUAAAAAAUAAAAGAGAAGAGAGAGAAAAAAAGAGAUUUUAAAGCAUAUCAUUAAAAAGAUCUUGAUAAGACAGAUCUAAUAACACUAAAAAAUGUCAUCAAUGAUAACCCGAACGGGUCAUAUUUGUCAUUUAAAGAUAACGGGCGACUUACUUACUUUCGACAACAAGUGUACCCUACUUAAAUCAUCGUUAGUGACUUUUAUUGGUAUUAUUAGAUUCAUCUUAUCGAUAUUUUUUUAUAAAACUAACGGUGUUGUAAUCAAAACUUUAGUGUAUAUCCCAGGUUUUUUUUUCCUCUCAUCUCUUUUCAUCAUAAUUUAUGCAUUUUAUUUCAUGAUUGUUUUUAAAAUAUUGCAUUUUUGACAACAACAAAGUUCAAUGUCGCAUUUUCUCAAUUGUUAUAUAUAAAAAUUGUGUUGUUUUAUCAAUUCCUUUUCAAAUUAUAUUAUUUUAUAAUUUAUUAAAAAAUAUAUACUAAUUUUCAAAAAAUAAAAAUCCUCAUUUUUAUCGACAUGCUAUAAUAAUCUCUUGAACAAAACCUUUACCAAGACAAUAUCCCCACAUCAUCAAUAACAUUGUCUGCCACAGUCAUCACCACCUACCUACCAAUCCAAUCAACUGUCAACUUGACAACAAUAAUCAAUGCAACUUGUUAUUAAAAAAAAAAACUAUCAUCUUAUAACUAUUGACAACAGGAAAAACUAUUAUUAUUAUUAUCAUAAUAAAUAUCAUAAUGUUCAUCAUUAUUAUCAAUGAGAAAAGAUUUCCCUUCAUUUAUUAACGUGAAACGAACAACAAGAAUAAGGUUAAAUUAAGGAAUUCCAAUCACUUAAUUUAUAAAUAGUGCGAAUUUGGAGGAAUAUAUUUUAUCAUAAACCAAAAAGUUCAGAAAACAAAACUCAAAUUAAAAAAAAAGGCGUAAAUGAAUAAAAAAAUAAUAAUGAUAAUAAUACCAAUGAGGCCUUCUUUAAUCUUGUUUCGGAACCAAAUCAUCUUAAUUAAGAAUAAAAAACAAAAGCGUUUAAGGGAUACAUGCUACAACGGCUGUAUAGCAGAUAAAUGAAAGAAAAAAUUUAGUAUUAAGAGGAUGGGUUUAUAGUCCAUUAAGUAAAAUAUUAAAAAUAAAAAAAAACCACAAAUAAAGCCGAAUAAUAAAGCUCAUAUAAAACGAAACAACAUAGGUUUGGAUGUAUCUAAUUUCUUAAUUAAAAAAAAAGUGACGGUUUAAGUUAUUCUCCAUUUUCUACUAUCAUAUAUGUCGCACGUCAAAAUCCGCGCGGCGUCCGCUGGCGAUUAUUUAUUAUUAUUUGUCGUUUUGCUUGGUUCGUUGGAGUCGCCACCUAGUAUUAUGGUCACUAGGAACCUAUGGUCUGCGAGAGUCUGGGUAAGGGACUGGUUGUGCAAGGGGAAGACGCAUCACCCCCAGUGCACCCUACCUAAGGUAAGCUGCAUUGUUGUUUGAUUGUUUUUCUAGGUCGAGUUUCUAUUCGUUGGUCUUUUCUAAAGUUCAAGGCAGAUCUCCCUUCGUGAGGGAGUCUCUACCUUAUUGGGUUAAAUCCUAACCAUUCUAAAGUCUGAAUUUUAAAAUUGCUUUUAUUUACACCUUGUAUCUUUAAUACCCGAGAGUGUACUUUAUCGUGUAAUUUUACACCCCACAAAUAUUAAAGUCUACAUUCGAAUCCUAGAAAAAAAAGUUGAAAUAAAAGUUUUUGACAUUUUGGCCAAACCCUAACAGAUGAUCAUAAACUAGUUAUGAUAUCCAUUUUUUGGAUUUUUAAAACGUGAGAAAGAUGCAAAUUUUUAUUUUGAAAAGAAAACAUGCUUGGAAAAUUCUUUAGGACUUGGCCGUAUGCAAUAAAAAUUUUUUUGAAUAUUUUUGAGAAAACCGGGCAUUUUAAUACCGGACUUGUAUCUUAUCAUGUAAGUAUACAACCCAAUAUUAAGCAAACUUGGUAGGAAAAUAUUUAAGAAAAUCACAAAUUUUUUGAAAUGAUUUUUGAAAUUUUUUUGAAUUUUUUUUGAUUUUUUUUUUUUUUUUUUUUUUAAUACAUAAUAAUUAAUUAAAUUUAUUAAAUCUGUGGGCCGGUCCGGCCCAAACAGUUGGUCCGGUCCAGGACCCUUGGGUUGGGCCGGUCUCGGCCCAACAGGUCCUUCUCUCUUUUUUCCGGGCCGGGCCAGAACCGGCCCGACCCCUUGGACUGGGCCAGAACCGGCCCGGCCCAAGCAAAUGGCUAAUUAAUUAGCCGCUGCAUGCAGAAACGAAUUCUGCAUGCAGCCACGGUGAAAGGAAAAAGGAAGGCGUAGCAGGGGAGGGGCGAGUUACCUGGCGUGGAGAGAGUCGGCGGCCUAGCUGGUGGUGCACGGUGUAACUGAAGGUGGUGAGGCCGGCGACUUGCAGUGUUCACGGCUGGAAGAAGAAGGAGCAGUUUCCUGCAGAGGAGAAGGAAAGCUCACUGCCGGAGCUGUUGGUGUGACGGGGGAAGGAGAUGCUACUCUGGCUGCUGCUGGUAGGAGUGAAAGCUUCUGGGCAAGGUGGUGGCUGCUGGCUCUGCUGUCGCCGCUGCUGCUGGAGUCCCGGUGGCAGAGGAGGAGAUUUUACAGAGGAGAGAGAGAGAAGUGGUGCAACUGUCACGUGAGAUGGUUUUGUGGCUACUGGAGGUGGGGAUGAUGGCGAGAAGCUAGGUGAUGAAGGUGAUGGUGGCUGAAGGCCACGGUGGAGAGAGAAAGCAGAAAAAAUGAUUGUUUGCAGAAAAAUGGGUGCAGAAUGCUGGUUUUCGGCCAACUUUGAGCUCGUUUUUCUCCUCCCCCUGAGCAUGAAAAUUGCUCCUAUUUAUAGGGCUGGAAAGAGGGCAAUCUUGUCUUCAAUGGGGAAAAAUAUCAGCCCUUGAUUCGACCUGAGCGAUCCAAACCGUUGGCUCAAAGUGGGCACCUCGAACUGCCAAAUUUGCAGACUGCCCGAGGUGCACACUUUGGGCCAAUAAACGAAGCCGUUUCAAACCUUUUCGACCCGACCGGACCAUUCUCGAGGAUAAAGGUGUUUCAGUUGGACAUGUUGGUGCAUGAUUUGUCGAAUUUGGGGUACAAACGAGGCAGCAGACAAGGCUUGAAGUCGGCCACUCGGGCAGCUCAGUGGAGAAGAAGAUGAACAGUACUAGGCGACGCGUCGCCUGGUCCUGCCCCCUUUUUUUUUUUUUUUUUUAACGCAUGAAACGGCGUCGUUUUUCCCAAAAUGCGCCGUUUCAUUUAAAUGAAAAACUGGCGCCAAAGUGCCAGAUUUCACAUCAAUCCUUCCUCUUGCGCGCGUUUUGUGUUUUGGUCCUUGGUUUCAGAUUGCUUCAAUUAAGUCCCUAAUUGGCCCCAAAACUUCAAUUUUCUUGCAAUUUGACCCCUGAUUUUGUCAAUUAACUUGGUAAAAAUUAAAUUUGGUCUCUUAAAAUUCCAAUCUUCUCCAUUAAGCCCAAAUUAGGCUCCCAAACUUAAUUUUUUACCAAUUAAGCCCCAAAUAAAAUUAAUUUGACCCAUUUAAAGUAUAAUUAAGUCCUUGCACUUAAUUAAAUCCUUCAUUUGGACCUAAAUUAAUUCUUAAACAUAAUUAAAAUUUAAUUUGGCCCAUGAUUAAAUCAAAUUGGCCUAUUAAAAAUUUAAUUAUGUUAUUGGACUUAAAUUUUAUGCAAAUUUGUCCAAUAAUCAUUUACUUUGACCUUGAAUUUGCAUUUUUUUUCUCCGAUUUUGGGCACAAUGGGGCGCCGAAAGGCCUUGAAUUUCCUCCGAAAAUUGCAGAUUGAUUUUUUGCCUAUUUUGCCUAUUUUUCUUGAUCAGCUUUCUCCACAUUGCCAGCUUUUAUUUUAUUUUUUUUUAUAUUUUUUUUUAUUUUUAUUUAAAAAAAGUGAAUUUUUGGGAAUAACCCAGAAUUGGGUUAUGAUCAUAUAUAUAGGUGUGAACUAUAUCUUAGGGUUGGUGUCCCCGCCGGCAAACUUGAGAAAAUCCAUCCAUGCAGGACGCAGUAUGAAGCAGUUGCAUGGAGAAGAUUUUAUGUACAUUUCUAUUUGAUAGUGACGCAGUCAGCAUGGAUAUUACUCCUCAUGGGAGUGAAUAUUGUAGGAGAUUUUGAUUUUUUGAGUCCCGGGAGUCAUUAUAAUUCGAAUACUCACUCCUAAAACUUCAAAAAAAAUUUCAAUUCCAAUAAAUAAAAGCAUUGUUUAUGUGUAUGUUAAUUUUUUUUAUAUCAUAAAUACAUUUGUAAACUCAAUUGAAGGUUAUGUGUGUCAAAAAAUCAAUUCAACCUAAUAAUUUAAGCUGUUAGGUAAGGUCCCAAUAUAUGAUUUAUAUUAUUCUCUAACACGUUCCCUCAAGUGAAAGCCCUUUGGGUUUGAAACUUGCACAGACCCACAUUACCUUGUACUUGAUUUUUAUCAAAUAAAUAGUGGUGGUGAGAUUCAACUUGUGACCACUUGUUCAUUAAGACUCUGAUACCAUGUCAAAUAAUCAUCUCAACCCAAUAGCUUAAGCUUUUGGGUUUAUAUGGUUCUUUGACAAUCUCAACCAAAUAGCUUAAGCUAUUAGGUGAGGUCCCGGAUAUGAUUUAUAUUAUUCUCUAACACAUGCCCUCAAGUGAAAACCAUUUGGGUUUAAAACUUGCACAGGUCCACACUACCUUGUGCUUAAUUUUUAUCACAUAAAUUGGAAUGGUGAGAUUCAAACUCGUGACUGCUUGGUCAUCAAGGCUCUGAUACCAUGUCAAAGAACCAUCACAACCUAAUAGCUUAAACUAUUAGGCAAGGUCCUAUGAUAUGAUUUAUAUUAUUAUCUAUGUCAAAGAACCAAUUCAACUUAAAAGCUUAAGCUAUUAGGUAAGGUCCUAAGAUAUAAUUUAUAUUAUUCUCUAACAACGUGAUCAUUUUCAAGAGCCAAACUAUUGAGGAAACCCGCUAAUUUAAGAUUUUUAGUCAAUCACAAACCUUUAUAUGGGUUCAAAAAUAAAAACAAUAAAAUUCAAAUUAAAAAAGUUUUUUAUAUAUAAUUAAGUAUUUACCACUUGAUUGUUAUUAAUUAAUUGAGCUAUUAACUUACUUGCUAUGUGAAUAUUGAUGUCACACUUGCAAGGAAACAUAAUCAUUAAAUCUAACUUGUUUAAUAAGUUGAUUUAAAAAAACUCAAAAUUUAAAGUCUAACAUGAUGUUUAUGAAUUGAUAGUAAUUUAACUUUUGUUUUUCCAGAUCAAUACUUAGACUGAGUCUGAUUAGUAUGCAAAGGAAUGACUAUAACCAGAUUUGAAUUCAAAUAUUUGAAAGUUUUAUAUUGAGUUAGAGAACUGGGCAUAGGCUUAUCUGAUGGAGGAUUAAUUAUUUGUUUAUUUUCAAAUCAAAGAAAGUCUUAAUCACAUCGUAAUAGAUUAUCUAAAAUGAGAACACUUAUUCGUUGAUUGACAGGCUAGUCAAGCUGAUUGAUAGACACGAAAGCACUAAUGCACGCACAACUCAUUUUUUUAACCAUUUACUAAUUCCAAACGUGGCCCAGAUUGAACUUACUUCAAACUAGAAUUUCUAUAUUAAAAUAAUACUGUUUUUAUUUUCUUAAAAGAAAAAAAAUUAACUUGAAUUGACAUGUCAACUGGGACAUCACUUUAAAACAGAAACCUCGAGGCAAGUUCUUAAUCAUAAAUAAAUAUAUUAAAAGGUAUGUGUUAAUAUAGAAUAUUGCAUAAACAGGAGAAGAAUGAUGUGAUUAGGAAACUUGUAUCGAUCCCUAGGAUUUUAUGAUUACCAUUCCACUAAAGUUACUCCCUUUUUGUAACAAAUCAAAGCUUCAAUUUAUUGCUUUUCCCAAUUGCCAAUGUGAUUUCGCUAAAGUGCAAUUCCACGUAAUUGCAGAGUCGUGAACUCGGUCGUCGUUCCCAUCCAUCUUUGAAAGGCGGUGACCAUCUGAAAAAAUUCAAUGGCUUCUCCCCAUGCUGAUUAGGAAGAUUUUGUACAGAUUCCCAUUUCUUCUAAUUAAGCUUAGGACGGAAUUUGACAUCCAGGCCACGAUGACGACCAUUGAUUUUCAAUUUUAAAACUAGACCAGGCUAAUUAAUUACAAAUCACGUGGAUGAUUGAUUUUUAAUCUUUCACCUGGUCUUAUUCCAGGACAGGAAGCCGUGUUAGCUGUCUUCGUUUUACAAAAUGUAUGGGAAACUACAGCUUAGUCAUCUAGUAUACACAUGAUUUCAAUUAAAUUCUUCAAAUAUAAAAUUGAGCAAUAUUACCCUAAAUAAAAUUAUAUAUUUUAAUCAAUAUUGUACCAAUCAAAAGAGAUAAAUAACUCUUUUUUAUAUAUAUAAUUUUUGUCGUGUGAUCUCUUACUAAUCAAAGAACACAGUCGCAAGUGAUAGAAAAAGAAAUUAUAAAACUUAGUUAUUCCUGUCGUUUUUCAACAAAAUAUCGUUAUUUUUUUAUUUUAUUUCCUAGCAUGAAAUGUUAUUAUUUGUUGCAACUUGAUAUUCUGAAGAAUUUGGAAUAACAGGUUUGUAGUGAUGUUGGGCAUGUGAGAAAAAAUACACAAGAUUUAUGAAUUUUGGUAGUAAAUUCUUUUGAUGGCUGUAAAUUAAUACGGGACACAAUUGAGUAAUGUGUGGUAGUUUAGGGUAACUUUGACUAAUCUCGAACUCUACGAACUUAAUUGAAACAGAGUAUAUAGUUGACGGACGGAAUCUUAGUUACUUCACUAUAUAAACAUCGAAGCCUUUAGCUAAUUCUGCAUCAGACAUUGAGAUAAUCAAUUCAUCAUUUCUUCUUUGCUUCCAAGCCAUGGCCAAUUGCAAUGACGAGCACUUCUGUCAAGAUAAGUUGUUGCUCGAUCCAAAGGAAGCUAGUUUGAAGGAACUCGUUCUUCUCUUAUUCUUCUCUGAUGUAAGAAGUAGAAAAUUCGUUGACUGCCCCGAAGAGAACCGGCUGAGAGAUAUUAAUCGACGAUGGCUAAUUUUCAUCUCGGUUCUUGUGCAAAAAAUCCUUCUUUCUUGCAGGGAACCCUUGGCUCAAACAGGGCAUACUGUAGAGUACUGGUUAAAUCUUAUCUCAAACAACGGUGGCCUUUUCAAGCUCCUGUUGAAUUAUUUGAAGGGUAUGUGCAGCUCCCUUGAAUUUUAUUUUUUCGUGGCAUAAAAUCAGGGAAGAAUUAGAGCAUAAAUCAGUUUACUUGUGCAUUGAAAAACGUUUUUGGUCACCUUUUGAUCGAAUCUAUAUAUGUCCAUGCAUGAGUGCAUGCAGUUACAAUCAACCCCUUAAUGUAUAAUAUGGGGUUCUAAUAGCUAAUUAAGAAUGGAUUGUACUUAUGCAGACAAGGUUGUGAGGCCGGAUGAAUCAUCAGCAACGUUCAGAUCUGCGGUUGGACAUUCUGACUGGAGAGUAGAACUAGACAAGAGUAGCAGACCCGGGGAAAUAAAAUAUAACACUUCCUUGUCUUUGAUGGCUGCCAAAUUGUCAUACGAAAACAAAGCUUUCAUCGAAACCAUCGUCAAAGAUCAUUGGAACGUAAGUAUCAGCACUAACACCACAUGAUCACACACACCUUUUUGUUUUUGGUUAUAACAUGGAUCGAGUUACAGAAAACCUAACUGUCUAGCCUAGAGCCCAAAACUUGUUCCAUUUUUUUGAUUAAUUUGUGCUGUUGAAAAAAAAUUUAUGUGCGCAAACUUGGUACUUUUAAUGGAGGCAUGUCCCUCAAUUACAGUACAAUAUGUAGAAUUAGUUUUGAUCAUAUCUACUAGCUAGCCGUGAAAGAAAAAAGUGCAGCUAGAGAAAUUAAUGAAAAUGUUUCACUGAUAUCCCAUGAGAUGUAACGAUGGUUGUUUUUCGUUUUCUUUUCACUUUUCUGCAGAUGGAGUUCUUGGGUUCCUACGACUACUGGAACGGUAAGAAGCAAGGCUUAUACUUUCAAUCAUAGUUACUCAGCCCGCCCAGGCUAGUAGGUUCAUAUGAUAUAUAAUUUCAUUAUUUGGAGUAUAGUACAAGUUAGUUUAUUUUGAAUUUGUGGUUAACCUAAUUAAUUAAUCAAUCACGUGCUCUCCACUUCAUUAAACAUAAUUGACUUGGUUAAUCUAACUAAAUUAUUAUUAAAUUCUUGGGUUUGAGUUUAUUUAAAAAAAAUUAAUAUUUUUAUUUAAAACAGAUGUAUAUUUUAUUUUAAAAUUGAUCAAGCAAACAUAGAACUCGUUCUUGGAUUGAAUCAAACUUCAUACUAGAUUGAUAAGUAUGCUUUCAAUUAGAAAAUUAGAGGUUAUCAUUUCUCGGAAAGAACACUAUAUGAUAAUGUUGUCACAGCUGAUAUGGAAGUCCGUAUGAUCUAGGAAUUAAUAUCAAAUUUAACUCUUACCUAACCAUUAUCUAAGUCAAUUCACGGCAAGGAAAUUUUAGCAUGACAUUUCAAGGAUGAGACAAAACAUAAACGUGGAUAAUAUGUUAAAAUUUUAAAACGCUGGUCAUGUUUUGAUUAUAGACGAGCAAGAUUCAGAAUUGAAGUGUUGUUUGUAGAAAGAGAAUAUAUAGAGACACAAAGAAAAGUAAACAUGUUGUAAAAUUCAAAGCUCUUGAACUUUAAGCAACAUCAGGUCAGGUCAAGGUAUUCUAAAGACAAAAACAUAAGGUCAAGGUGAUGUAGGCUGCGAGAUACACAAGGAAAUUAAUUGACUGGUGCACUCCAUUCUCUCUUCUUCUUCUUCUUCUUCUUGCAUUGAAAAAAAAAUACUCCAUCUCGUAGAAACCAAACUAGUUUAUUUUAUUAAUAUUGGCCCUUUUAAAAUUUAAAGGUAGAUUACAAUUUAGUUAUUUUAAUAAUUUUAUAGGUGGUACGCUUGGUUUUAAAAAAAAAUCAUAAAUCCCCCCUUGUUGGAGUUGCUUGUAAAUUCUCUAAAUUACCCGUUUCAAAUGCAUUUUUGGUUUUGUUUAUGCUAGGUGAGAUUUUGACUAAAAAUAAAGGAUGAAUUGUCAAGAAAACUAAUGAAAGGACUGAAAGCGUUUGCUAGGAAUAUAGUUGUGCAUAUAUUUGAUAUUUAAUUUGAUGUAUGGUAUUUUUUUAAAAUAUUUUUUAUUUAAAAAUAUAUCAAAAUAAUAUUUUUUAUUUUUAACAUAAAUAUAUUAAAAAAAAACAAUUAUUAAUUUAAUAUUUUUUAAAAACCACAAUCACACUUGCAACACACAAAAUGAAAGGCAUAUUUGUUUGAACAUCUGAUUUGAAUGCCGCACAGGGUACCAAGAAAAGGCCUCAACGCAAGCAUUAUUGUUCCAAGAUAAGAAGGUUGACCCAACCUUAAUUGUGGUGGCUUUUAGAGGGACCAACCCAUUUGAUGCAGAUGACUGGACCACAGAUGUGGAUCUCUCAUGGUAUGACCUUCAAGGCAUUGGUAAGCUCCACCGUGGCUUCAUGAAAGCCCUAGGCCUGCAAGAGAAUGGCUGGCCCAAAGAAAUUGAACAAGGCAGUGGCCAUUCUU
rnacentral:lncRNA from 1 species